rnacentral:lncRNA from 1 species
UUGUUCUCAGACCGGGAAUCCUAUCUUCCGGUAUGACUGGGGUCGAAAGCCCUACAUUCUGUUUCAAUUCGGAUGGGCUUCCCCUAUUGUCUGGCCUUAACCAUUGCAUUGGCUGUGAAGGCCUUCAUUACUGGGUGAGUCGAAUCCCAGAUGAUGCCUUGUUCGGGCUCAUUCGUCCUCUCCUCCCCACUUUGAUGGAAUCAUUUUUUUGCCGCAUGGGGAGGUUUGUAGUCGUUUCACUCCUUUAGUCGAUAUGAAGUUCGUUUCACUACGUAUAGAAUACGAACUAUCCGAACAAAGACCGGCUUCUUGCCG